GAUGAACGCUAGCGGCGGGCCUAAUACAUGCAAGUCGAACGGUGCAGCAAUGCAUAGUGGCAGACGGGUGCGUAACGCGUAUGCAACCUACCUUUUAUCGGGGGACAACAUUUCGAAAGAAGUGCUAAUACCGCGUAAGAUAGUAGUGGGACAUCCCACAGCUAUUAAACUUUCGGGGAUAGAAGAUGGGCAUGCGUCUGAUUAGCUAGUUGGCGGGGUAACGGCCCACCAAGGCGACGAUCAGUAGGGGAACUGAGAGGUUGAUCCCCCACACUGGCACUGAGAUACGGGCCAGACUCCUACGGGAGGCAGCAGUAGGGAAUAUUGGGCAAUGGACGGAAGUCUGACCCAGCCACGCCGCGUGCAGGAGGAAGGCGCUCUGCGUUGUAAACUGCUUUAGCAGGGGAAGAAAAGACUCAUGCGUGAGGAAUUGACGGUACCCUGAGAAUAAGCACCGGCUAACUACGUGCCAGCAGCCGCGGUAA
rnacentral:rRNA from 1 species